ensembl:lncRNA
UAAGGUUGGGCUCUGGCUCAGAAAGUCCUUUUUUUUAAAUCUGCAUUUUUGUUAGCUCUAGUAAUAGCAGCACUUCUUUUGUCUUGGCUGAUUUUACUGCAGACUCCAGAAAAUAGAGCUGGUGUCCUGGCAUGUAAAGGCUUGUCCCUAUCAAAGUCUGUUUCUAAUCUUGAUCAGGAAUUUGCGUGGGUAGUGAUCACCCCAGAGUCCUUUUAUUUUUGAUGUUGUCUCAUUGCUUUAAAACUUUAGUGUGUGUCUUGAAGAAGUCCCCAAAAGCCACAUGGCCACAAGCUGCUGACGAGACCCUGUAAGCACAAGGUGCAGGGGAGGGGGCAGAACAUGUGCUUGGAGCUGAUUUUAGCUCUUGCACCUUAAGUACAGCCUGGCUCCUGUGAUGGCCAUGUAGCACUUCUUGCUAAGCACCAUUCCAGCCUCACACCCUGCUUUCUUGGGAUAGACACAGUGGAGAAAAAGCAAAUGCUUAAGUUUGGGGUGAAUUCCCAAGCUGAGCUCACCUCUGUCCAGUCCAGGGAAGAGUUUGGCUUGUGAACAUAAAGGGACUACUCUUGUUUAGAGAUGCUUCAAGACGAAGUACAUGAUGAAUGGGAGAGUGGUGCCCAGCUCUACUUACAGAUGCUGCUAUCAAGGAAGGAGGGACUUGCCCAAAGUGCCAGAUGACAGUAGCUGGAAAGUGCAAUGGAAGGCUGGAGAGAUGCAUGGGAAGAAACACCCAGCAUGCCAAAAGUACAGGAGGGCUCAGCUUGCUUUCUGCUGGUGGCUGUGAUGCAGAAGCUCCUGGGAGCAGUCUCUCUGGCAUUAGCUGCUGUAUUUCCACAGGGCUGGGCUGUAGAUUGGGUUAGAUGCUGGAAGGCAGAGCUGGGCCCUGAGUAAGAGGCACCACUACUGAUCUGUGUAUCCUGUGAUACAUCUGCUGGUGACCUGUGAUAGAGGAAGCUAUUGUGGGUGGCCAGUGCCCUGAAUCUAGAGGAAGGCUUGGAUAUGUGGUUCCUCAUCCACAGUGGGACAUUUUGCUGCUUUGCCACCACACCCCAUGAACCAUUGUUAUAUUUGGCUUAUUCUUCCACCAGAUGUAGGUUUUCUGUUUUCAAGUAGAAAUGAAAUCUAUGCAAGGAGUGAUUUACAGGCUGUGAUACUGCUGGGCCAAGAAGUGAGAGCCUGAAGAGCUGAACUUAGUCUACACAAAUACUCCAGUUCUGCUUUCCACCUUCUGUGAACCCCAUUGGAUUGACUGUGAAUAGCCUCUGUGCACUCUUGUCUACUGCUGUUGAAUUUGGACAUCCUUGAGAGCAGAAGAGCUUUAGAGCAGGCCAGGCUGUGGCAGAACUCCAGAAGUGAAACUGUAAGAGCCACCAUUGCUGGGACAUGCUCAACAAGCCAUGAGAAUGAGAGGAAUGACAGGUUUGUCUUCACAGAUGAGCUGUGGGUCUGCUGAUAAGAUGAAACUCUCACUGAGAGAUAACAGAAACAAUGGGAGGGAUUCCACUGAAGGAUGAAAGGGACAAUGAGGAAACACCAUAAAUUCCAUAAGAAUUAUAAAUUAAGAGGGGGGUUAUACAUUAGAGGGGAAUCUUAGGUAUCAGGCAUUCCGGGAAGUCUGUACCUCUCAAGUACCUCAGCCUAUGGGGAAAGAGAGAAGGGACAUGUGGCCGGGAAAUUAGGAUAAAAAGGAGGCUGUGCCCUCCAAAAAUUUGAGAGACCCCAGGGGAAUGCCCUGUGGCCUCUCCCAUUAUUUGAAUAAAGUAAAAGGACUCUCCUCUGUCUCCUUUUUG